CGUGGGUAACCUGCCUUAUAGUGGGGGAUAGCCUUUCGAAAGGAAGAUUAAUACCGCAUAAGAUUGUAGUAUCGCAUGAUAUAGCAAUUAAAGGAGCAAUCCGCUAUAAGAUGGACCCGCGUCGCAUUAGCUAGUUGGUGAGGUGAUGGCUCACCAAGGCGACGAUGCGUAGCCGACCUGAGAGGGUGAUCGGCCACAUUGGGACUGAGACACGGCCCAGACUCCUACAGGAGGCAGCAUG
rnacentral:rRNA from 1 species